GCCAUCAUGCCAAGGCAAUACACCAGGAAGACAACCUGGGGCAAAACACCCCUCGAGGAGAUGGAGAGUGCAGCCGCUGAGGUCAAGGAAGGAAAGAAGUCUAUCAGAGCAGCUGCAAGGGACAGAAAUAUUGACAAGUCAAGCCUUUUAAGAUUCAUAAAGAAAAAAGAGAAAGGGGAAGUAAAAUCAGUUGCCUGGGGUGCAGUAGCUAAGGCACAGAGAAUUAUUACAGAUGAGAUGGAGGAGGAGCUUGCCAAACACUUGAAACAACUAGCUGAACAGUUCCAUGGCCUUCCUCCAGUUAAGUCCCGUCAACUGGCCUUUGAAUAUGCAGAAAGAAACAAUAUCCCUGUCCCUGACAAUUGGACAAAGACACAAUGUGCAGGUGAAGAUUGGUUUCGCAGCUUCCUAGCACGUCGCCAUCUCUCUAUCCGAACUCCAGAGGCAACAUCCCUGGGAAGGGCUACAGCCUUGAAUAAAACUACAGUCAGGGAGUUCUUUGACAAUCUGGCUGUAGUGAUGGGCAGGCAUGCCUUCCCUCCACACAUGAUUUACAAUGUGGAUGAAACAGGUGUCUUUACAGUACAAAAGCCACAGCAG